rnacentral:rRNA from 1 species
GACGAACGCUGGCGGCGUGCUUAACACAUGCAAGUCGAACGGAAAGGCCCUGCUUUUGUGGGUUGCUCGAGUGGCGAACGGGUGAGUAACACGUGAGUAACCUGCCCUUGACUUUGUGAUAACUUCAGGAAACUGGGGCUCAUACCGCAUAGGAGCUCCUGCUGCAUGGUGGUGGUUGGAAAGUUUCGGCCGUUGGGGCUGGACUCGCGGGUUAUCAGCUUGUUGGUGGGGUAGUGGCUUACCAAGGCUUUGACGGGUAGCCGGCCUGAGAGGGUGACCGGCCACAUUGGGACUGAGAGACGGCCCAGAAUCCUACGGGAGGCAGUGGUGGGGAAUAUUGCAGAAUGGGGGGAAGCCUGAUGCAGAAACGCCGGGUGCGGGAUGAUGGGCUUCGGGUUAUAAACCGCUUUCGCCUGUGACGAGGCGUGAGUGACGGUAAUGGGUAAAGAAGCACCGGCUAACUACGUG